rnacentral:rRNA from 1 species
GAUGAACGCUGGCGGCGUGCUUAACACAUGCAAGUCGAACGAUGAAGCCCAGCUUGCUGGGUGGAUUAGUGGCGAACGGGUGAGUAACACGUGAGUAACCUGCCCUUAACUCUGGGAUAAGCCUGGGAAACUGGGUCUAAUACCGGAUAGGAGCGUCCACCGCAUGGUGGGUGUUGGAAAGAUUUAUCGGUUUUGGAUGGACUCGCGGCCUAUCAGCUUGUUGGUGAGGUAAUGGCUCACCAAGGCGACGACGGGUAGCCGGCCUGAGAGGGUGACCGGCCCCCGUGGGACUGGGAAACGGCCCAGACUCCUACGGGGGGCAGCAGGGGGGAAUAUUGCACAAUGGGCGCAAGCCUGAUGCAGCGACGCCGCGUGGGGGAUGACGGCCUUCGGGUUGAAAACCUCUUUCAGUAGGGAAGAAGCGAAAGUGACGGUACCUGCAGAAGAAGCACCGGCUAACUACGU